rnacentral:rRNA from 1 species
CUCCAGUCGAUCCUGCUGGAGGGUACUGCUAUCAGAGUUCGGCUAAGCCAUGCAAGUCAGCUCUCCCACCUGGGAGGGCGGCGUACGGCUCAUUAGCACGUGGUCAAUCUACCCUAAGGACGUGGAUAAAGUCGGGAAACUGACUGUAACCCGCGAUGGUCCAUCGGUGCUGGAAUGCUAGAUGGAUGAAACCGUGUGAGGAAUUGGACUCACGUGGCCUUAGGAUGAGACUGCGCCUGAUUAGGUAGUUGGUGGGGUAACGGCCCACCAAGCCAAUAAUCAGUGGGGGCAUUGGGAGAUGGAGCCCCGAGAAGGGCACUGAGACAAGGGCCCUAGUCCUACGGGAUGCAGCAGGCGCGAAAACUCUGCAAUGCGCGAAAGCGUGACAGGGGAACUCUGAGUGGUAGGCUUUUAGCCUAUCUUUUGGCGAGCCUAGACAGCUCGCAGAAUAAGUUCCGGGCAAGACCAGUGCCAGCCGCCGCGGUAACACUGGCGGAGCGAGUGGUACCCACGAAUAUUGGGCUUAAAGAGUCCGUAGCUGGCUUCCUAAGUUUCCUGUGAAAUCUCCGGGCUCAACCCGGAGGCGUGCAGGGAAUACUGAGAAGCUUGAGAGCGGGGGAGGUCAGGGGUACUUUCGGGGUAGGAGUAAAAUCCUGUAAUCCUGAAAGGACCACCAGUGGCGAAGGCGCCUGACCAAAACGCGUCUGACAGUGAGGGACGAAGGCUAGGAGAACGAAUCGGAUUAGAUACCCGAGUAGCCCUAGCAGUAAAUUAUGCAGACUGUGGUGUUGCAGUGGCCUUGAGCUGCUGCAGUGCCGUAGCGUAAGUGUUAAGUCUGCCGCCUGGGGAGUACGGCCGCAAGGUUGAAACUUAAAGGAAUUGGCGGGGGAGCACCACAAGGGGUGGAGGCUGCGGUUCAAUUGGAUUCAACGCCGGGAAUAUUACCAAGAGCGACGGCAGUAUGAAGGCCAGACUAAAGAUCUUGCCUGACGAGCCGAGAGGUGGUGCAUGGCCAUCGUCAGCUCGUGGUGUGAACUGUCCGGUUAAGUCCGGCAAACCUCCCGAACCCA